rnacentral:rRNA from 1 species
GACGAACGCUGGCGGCGUGCUUAACACAUGCAAGUCGAACGGGAGUAUCGAAGAAGCUUGCUUUUAAGAUACUUUAGUGGCGGACGGGUGAGUAACGCGUGAGGAGCUGUCCUAUGCAGGGGGACAACAGUUGGAAACGACUGCUAAUACCCCAUAAGCCGAGAGGUAAAAGGAUUUAUCCGGCAAAGGAGGUACUCGCGUCCUAUCAGCUAGUAGGUGGGGUAACGGCUCACCUAGGCGAAGACGGGUAGCCGGCCUGAGAGGGCGAACGGCCACACUGGAACUGAGAUACGGUCCAGACUCCUACGGGAGGCAGCAGUGGGGAAUAUUGGGCAAUGGGGGCAACCCUGACCCAGCGACGCCGCGUGGGUGAAGAAAUCCUUCGGGAUGUAAAGCCCUGUUGUAUGGGAAGAGCAGAAGACGGUACCAUACGAGGAAGCCCCGGCAAACUACGUGCUAGCCGCCGCAGUAA